rnacentral:rRNA from 1 species
UACGGGGGGAGCAAGCGUUGUUCGGAUUUACUGGGCGUAAAGGGCGCGUAGGCGGUCGUGACAAGUCACUUGUGAAAUCUCCGGGCUUAACUCGGGACGGUCAAGUGAUACUGUCGGACUAGAGUACAGAAGGGGCAACUGGAAUUCUCGGUGUAGCGGUGAAAUGCGUAGAUAUCGAGAGGAACACCUGCGGCGAAGGCGGGUUGCUGGGCUGAUACUGGCGCUGAGGCGCGAAAGCCAGGGGAGCGAACGGG